CCAAUAGCGUAUAUUAAAGUUGUUGCAGUUAAAAAGCUCGUAGUUGAACUUCAGGCCUGUCCAGAUGGUCCGCCUUAAUUGGUGUGUACUGUCCUUGGGUGGUUCCUACCUUCUGGCGAAGCGGCAUGGCCUUAAUUGGUUGUGUUGGGGAAGCAGGACUUUUACUGUGAAAAAAUUAGAGUGUUCAAAGCAGGCAUUAUAUGCUCGAAUACAGUAGCAUGGAAUAAUGGAAUAGGACGAUGGUUCUAUUUUGUUGGUUCUAGGACCGUUGUAAUGAUUAAUAGGGAUAGUUGGGGGCAUUAGUAUUCAAUUGUCAGAGGUGAAAUUCUUGGAUUUAUUGAAGACUAACUACUGCGAAAGCAUUUGCCAAGGAUGUUUUCAUUAAUCAAGAACGAAAGUUAGGGGAUCGAAGACGAUCAGAUACCGUCGUAGUCUUAACCAUAAACUAUGCCGACUAGGAAUCGGGCGAUGUUGACAAAAUGACUCGCUCGGCACCUCAUG
rnacentral:rRNA from 1 species